AGGCUGCCCAGUGUAACUUGCUGCUGUCAGUCAGUCAGGAAUUGUCUGACUUCACAAAGCUCCAGAGACUUGUUAAUGAUCUUGGGAGUGAGUUGGUCAGCCCAGGUUCUCAGACAUGAGGGGGAGACACAGUCAGUUCCUGGAGCUUUCAUGGUCGUUUGGCAUUGAAAUAACUUAUUUAUAGGCUAUUGUAUCAUUCUCAGAGGGCUUAAAUCAAAGUAGAAGGCCUUAGAAGAGUAGGGUGGAUGGUGCAUGGGAAGCUAGAUGUGAACAAGUUGGUAAGACAGCUGCGUUUUGAAGUUGUUAGGCUGCAUUUUGAAGUUGUUAAGUCUGUCUGCCACACACAGCCCCUUCUCAGGGUUUGGAAAUGCUCUUCUGUAAGCAGUUGUAAUGAUUCCUGCCUGAUCCUGCCUGAAAAACACUUGUUUGCUGUCCCAUGAUGUCACUCCUUGCUCUCGGUGCUGCACCAGCAAUCAAGGUCUGAGUAGUUACACCUGUUUCGGCUCUAAUUACUGGGAGUCGCUGCACCAGGGAAGAACAAUAUAUAUUCCUGGCUCUCCCAGUGGGUAACCACCAGAUUCUUGAAAGCCAUUGUAUUUUCCUGCCUAUCGUGUAUGAACCAGGCCUUGACCUUGGACCUGUCUCCUGUCUCUGCCCCGCUUGGAAACCUCUGCCAGACUGUCUCCCUGUGCAUGACCACAGAACUGACAAUGGCUACUCCAUUAGCCUUUGCCCUGCCAAGCCACGCUGUGAUUCGGAUCAGUCAGUCAGUGAUCCAAAUCAUUCAUAUGGAGCCAGUAUAUUCAAUCAUCAGAGGCAGUGCAACCUCCUUGCAUCU